rnacentral:rRNA from 1 species
GUGUCAGCCGCCGCGGUAAUACGUAGGGGGCGAGCGUUGUCCGGAUUUAUUGGGCGUAAAGAGCUCGUAGGCGGUUCGAUAAGUCGGACGUGAAAUCUCCACGCUCAACGUGGAGGGGCCGUUCGAUACUGUCGUGACUCGAGUCCGGUAGGGGAGUGUGGAAUUCCCGGUGUAGCGGUGAAAUGCGCAGAGAUCGGGAGGAACACCCGUAGCGAAGGCGGCACUCUGGGCCGGUACUGACGCUGAGGAGCGAAAGCGUGGGGAGCAAACAGGAUUAGAUACCCCCGUAGUCC